rnacentral:rRNA from 1 species
GAAUGCUGACAUAAGUAACGAUAAAGCGGGUGAAAAGCCCGCUCGCCGGAAGACCAAGGGUUCCUGUCCAACGUUAAUCGGGGCAGGGUGAGUCGACCCCUAAGGCGAGGCCGAAAGGCGUAGUCGAUGGGAAACAGGUUAAUAUUCCUGUACUUGGUGUUACUGCGAAGGGGGGACGGAGAAGGCUAUGUUGGCCGGGCGACGGUUGUCCCGGUUUAAGCGUGUAGGCUGGUUUUCCAGGCAAAUCCGGAAAAUCAAGGCUGAGGCGUGAUGACGAGGCACUACGGUGCUGAAGCAACAAAUGCCCUGCUUCCAGGAAAAGCCUCUAAGCAUCAGGUAACAUCAAAUCGUACCCCAAACCGACACAGGUGGUCAGGUAGAGAAUACCAAGGCGCUUGAGAGAACUCGGGUGAAGGAACUAGGCAAAAUGGUGCCGUAACUUCGGGAGAAGGCACGCUGAUACGUAGGUGAAGUCCCUUGCGGAUGGAGCUGAAAUCAGUCGAAGAUACCAGCUGGCUGCAACUGUUUAUUAAAAACACAGCACUGUGCAAACACGAAAGUGGACGUAUACGGUGUGACGCCUGCCCGGUGCCGGAAGGUUAAUUGAUGGGGUUAGCGGUAACGCGAAGCUCUUGAUCGAAGCCCCGGUAAACGGCGGCCGUAACUAUAACGGUCCUAAGGUAGCGAAAUUCCUUGUCGGGUAAGUUCCGACCUGCACGAAUGGCGUAAUGAUGGCCAGGCUGUCUCCACCCGAGACUCAGUGAAAUUGAACUCGCUGUGAAGAUGCAGUGUACCCGCGGCAAGACGGAAAGACCCCGUGAACCUUUACUAUAGCUUGACACUGAACAUUGAGCCUUGAUGUGUAGGAUAGGUGGGAGGCUUUGAAGUGUGGACGCCAGUCUGCAUGGAGCCGACCUUGAAAUACCACCCUUUAAUGUUUGAUGUUCUAACGUUGGCCCCUGAUCGGGGUUGCGGACAGUGUCUGGUGGGUAGUUUGACUGGGGCGGUCUCCUCCUAAAGAGUAACGGAGGAGCACGAAGGUUGGCUAAUCCUGGUCGGACAUCAGGAGGUUAGUGCAAUGGCAUAAGCCAGCUUGACUGCGAGCGUGACGGCGCGAGCAGGUGCGAAAGCAGGUCAUAGUGAUCCGGUGGUUCUGAAUGGAAGGGCCAUCGCUCAACGGAUAAAAGGUACUCCGGGGAUAACAGGCUGAUACCGCCCAAGAGUUCAUAUCGACGGCGGUGUUUGGCACCUCGAUGUCGGCUCAUCACAUCCUGGGGCUGAAGUAGGUCCCAAGGGUAUGGCUGUUCGCCAUUUAAAGUGGUACGCGAGCUGGGUUUAGAACGUCGUGAGACAGUUCGGUCCCUAUCUGCCGUGGGCGCUGGAGAACUGAGGGGGGCUGCUCCUAGUACGAGAGGACCGGAGUGGACGCAUCACUGGUGUUCGGGUUGUCAUGCCAAUGGCACUGCCCGGUAGCUAAAUGCGGAAGAGAUAAGUGCUGAAAGCAUCUAAGCACGAAACUUGCCCCGAGAUGAGUUCUCCCUGACUCCUUGAGAGUCCUGAAGGAACGUUGAAGACGACGACGUUGAUAGGCCGGGUGUGUAAGCGCAGCGAUGCGUUGAGCUAACCGGUACUAAUGAACCGUGAGG